rfam:Brachypodium distachyon strain Bd21 chromosome 3, whole genome shotgun sequence.
UUUGUGCUAUUCCUCCGUCCAAUAAAGGAUGUCUCAACUUUGACUAGAUUUGAAUGCAUCUAUACACUAAGUCGUGUAUAGAUACAUUCAAAUUUUGACAAAUUUAAGACAUCUUUUGUUGGACGGAGGGAGCACAAA